rnacentral:pre_miRNA from 1 species
AGUAGGAUAGCUGGGUCAAAAGGUGGUUCCAUUCAGAGUUUGAGGAAUCUCCAAACUGUUUUCCAUAGUGGUUGCACCAAUUUGCAGUCCCACCAGCAAU